UACGAAGGGUGCAAGCGUUACUCGGAAUUACUGGGCGUAAAGCGUGCGUAGGUGGUUCGUUAAGUCUGAUGUGAAAGCCCUGGGCUCAACCUGGGAAUGGCAUUGGAUACUGGCGGACUGGAGUGCGGUAGAGGAUGGCGGAAUUCCCGGUGUAGCAGUGAAAUGCGUAGAGAUCGGGAGGAACAUCUGUGGCGAAGGCGGCCAUCUGGAACGUUUCUGACGCUGAGGCUCGAAAGCGUGGGGAGCAAACAGG
rnacentral:rRNA from 1 species